rnacentral:sRNA from 1 species
UUGCGCCUGCGGCGGCCCAGGCACGGACCUUAUACGACUUCGCAGGCAGUCGGCCCGUGUACGCGCCGGUAUAUCCCUGAAUUUCAGGGAUUUAAUGAUUUCU